GGAUCUGUCCGUUGGUCGGGCCUCACGGUCCGCACUGAUGCGAUGGAUUCCUACCCUCUGAAUAACCGGUAUGACAUUAAUUUGAUGUGCCGGGGAAGCAGAACCAUUACCUUGAAAAAAUUAGAGUGCUCAAAGCAGGCUUGUGCCUGAAUACAUUAGCAUGGAAUAAUAAAAUAGGACGUGCGGUUCUAUUUUGUUGGUUUCUAGAGUCGCCGUA
rnacentral:rRNA from 1 species